rnacentral:lncRNA from 1 species
CUGAUUAUUUCUUCCCUGGGUGAAUUAUUCAGUCACAUGACCCAAGGCUCUUAAACAUGGCGUGACGCUGCUCUUUAAGUUACCACCCAGGAACCAACGCUGCCUGCAGCUCAACCUAGCUGAUGGAUCUGAGUGCGGUCGCCAACCUCCAAUCACCCCAGACACGAGCCCCAGGACCCCACACCACCCCACGGUA